GAUGAACGCUGGCGGCGUGCCUAAUACAUGCAAGUCGAGCGAACAGACGAGGAGCUUGCUCCUCUGACGUUAGCGGCGGACGGGUGAGUAACACGUGGAUAACCUACCUAUAAGACUGGGAUAACUUCGGGAAACCGGAGCUAAUACCGGAUAAUAUACUGAACCGCAUGGUUCAAUAGUGAAAGACGGUUUUGCUGUCACUUAUAGAUGGAUCCGCGCCGCAUUAGCUAGUUGGUAAGGUAACGGCUUACCAAGGCAACGAUGCGUAGCCGACCUGAGAGGGUGAUCGGCCACACUGGAACUGAGACACGGUCCAGACUCCUACGGGAGGCAGCAGUAGGGAAUCUUCCGCAAUGGGCGAAAGCCUGACGGAGCAACGCCGCGUGAGUGAUGAAGGUCUUCGGAUCGUAAAACUCUGUUAUUAGGGAAGAACAAAUGUGUAAGUAACUAUGCACGUCUUGACGGUACCUAAUCAGAAAGCCACGGCUAACUACGU
rnacentral:rRNA from 1 species